AAAAACUUUUGCCAAUAAUUCAAACUUAGAAAAUCAUAAAAGUUUAAUUAAUCCUAAAUAAAUGUCUGAUCCGAAACGAGAAUAAUAUCUCAUGGGCUGUAUACUAGAAUGUCUCAAUGAUAAUUACGAUAAAAGGUCUAAUGCUAAUUAUUAUUGACGUCCGUCAACGAGAUGGGAAAUUUGAAUUUUUAGCGGAACAGGUCACAGGCGGGUUGUUGCGUCAAUUGCACCACUCUGUGUCUGUGCGUCAAUAGGUCAUGCCGACGGGGCCUAUGCUGACGGGCGACGGCGUCGUUAUGGAAACCAGCCGAUCCAAUGGGUACGUGAACGGUAGAAUAAACGGUCUAUUUGCCACCCAACGUGUCCUGAGCGCGCCUCAGUCGCCGGCCGUCUCGAUCAAUACAGCUCAGAUAGUCAGAUCUGACCGCAGUUCAGCACCUCUUAUACCUCACCACGUCGUGCUGUCGUAUGUAAGUGUCCGGUAUUGUGGGUGAUGACGAUUCGUAACUCCACUUGUACGUUUUCCUGAUAUCUGGUUAUGCAGUCAUUACUUCAUUAGACCGGUCAUCCGCCGAUGUACUAACUGUUUAACGCGAGUUCGACGAUUUGAUUGUAUUUGACCAAUUAUGAUCACAGUAUUAUUGGAAUUUUAGAGGUACCUAUACAGUCGUUUGAUCCCUACAUGUUUGUUGAGCUGUAGACAGAUUGAGCCGAUUCUAGCGACUGGACAUAGAGCAAACUAACGCCGGUUAUGGAGCACUUUGACCGGAAAAAUAUGUGGCCGCCCAUAUCACGGAAGUCGUCGACCUCGAUCUCAUCACGGCCUCAUUUCAGCCUUAAUGCUGACUGCAGCCCGGGAAAUUAUUGAAAAACAGAUGAUAUACUUCAACAAUCCAAUCCAAUUUCCCCGUUGAAGUCUUUCGAGGUUCUUGGAAAUUUGCUAGUCAAUCAAUUUUCUCGCCCACUGAACAGACAUGUGUGAAUUGGACGACUGUAAAUCUAAAUUAUCUAUAAUACGGGGAUCACAAGAAGUUACGUACAAUCUAAUCGAAGAGCUUGCGUUCAGUGGUUUUCAAAAUUACGCGGCGGAUCAUCGGUUUAGUGGUGCAUUGACUGCAUAACCUACCACUUAUCAGAAGAUCUACGUGCGGAGUAGGUUAUCUACCACAAUAUCGGACACGAAUAUGCGAUGGCGGGGCGUGGGAGGAAUGCGGAUUAAACCUCGGCCCAGUUGAUGCGGUACCAUUCGCUGUCGUCGGCAACUGACCACUACACACAUUUAAUUGGAGACAUUUGAGUAUUUGACAUGAGUCAAAUUAAGAAAAAAAUCCUUCUCUAUUCUCCUUACUAUUCAGCUCUGUUUUUCAAAAUGAAUCAUGUCAAUAUAAUCCACAAGAUAUCAAAUGUUUCAUCGUUUGUUUGAAAUGGAAUGAAUCAUGGAGCCCACGUUAUACAACGAAAUAAUUUUGUUUCAUGUCCAACGGCGAUACAACAAGUUCAGCAGUACAAAUUUACUUGAGACACUUAUUAUUUUUGAAAAACGAAAUGCAAUGCUCACUGCUUAUGUUUUAUUAGAAACAUUUCAGAGAAAACCGACUGGUUAGUGGUUUAUAACUACCUAUCUAUAAAAUCUAUAAUAAACUAACGAGCACUGAUUAAAUAAGUACAAACCUAAUG